GAUGAACGCUGGCGGCGUGCUUAACACAUGCAAGUCGAACGGGAUCAAAGGGGUGCUUGCACUUUUUGGUGAGAGGGGCGAACGGGUGAGUAACACGUGAGUAACCUGUCCUUUUCUUUGGGAUAAGCAUUCGAAAGGGUGUUUAAUACCUUAUGUUCUGUCUGCCUCGCAUGGGGUGGGUGGGAAAGGCUUUGGCCGGAUUUGUGUGGGCUCGCGGUCUAUCAGCUUGUUGGUGGGGUGAUGGCUUACCAAGGCUUUGACGGGUAGCCGGGCUGUGAGGGUGGUCGGUCACAUUGGGACUGAGAUACGGCCCAGAAUCCUGCGGGAGGCAGCAGUGGGGGAUAUUGCACAAUGGGCGAAAGCCUGAUGCAGCGACGCCGCGUGGGGUAUGAAGGCCUUCGGGUUGUAAACUUCUUUUGCUCUGAACAAGGCAUGCCAGUGAGUGUGUUGAGUGUAGGGGUUGAUUAGCGCCGGCUAACUACGUG
rnacentral:rRNA from 1 species